rnacentral:rRNA from 1 species
CCUACGGGUGGCAGCAGUGGGGAAUAUUGCACAAUGGGGGAAACCCUGAUGCAGCAACGCCGCGUGAGUGAAGAAGUACUUCGGUAUGUAAAGCUCUAUUAGCAGGGAAGAAGAUGACGGUACCUGAUUAAUUAGACACGGCCAACUACGUGCCAGCAGCCGCGGUAAAACGUAGGGGGCAAGCGUUCUCCGGAUUUACUGGGUGGAAAGGGAGCGCAGAGGGCAGUGCAAGUCUGGAGUGAAAGCCCGGGGCCCAAACCCGGAACUGCUCUGGAAACUGGCCGGCUAGAGUACUGGAGAGGCAGGCGGAAUUCCUAGUGUAGCGGUGAAAUGCGUAGAUAUAAGGAAGAACACCAGUGGCGAAGGCGGCUUACUGGACAGUAACUGACGUUGAGGCUCGAAAGCGUGGGGAGCAAACAGGAUUAGAUACCCGUGUAGUC